GACGAACGCUGGCGGCGUGCUUAACACAUGCAAGUCGAACGGUAAGGCUCCAGCUUGCUGGGGUACACGAGUGGCGAACGGGUGAGUAACACGUGGGUGACCUGCCCUGCACUUCGGGAUAAGCCUGGGAAACUGGGUCUAAUACCGGAUAGGACCAUGGUGUGGAUACUGUGGUGGAAAGUUUUUUCGGUGUGGGAUGGGCCCGCGGCCUAUCAGCUUGUUGGUGGGGUAAUGGCCUACCAAGGCGGCGACGGGUAGCCGGCCUGAGAGGGUGGACGGCCACAUUGGGACUGAGACACGGCCCAGACUCCUACGGGAGGCAGCAGUGGGGAAUAUUGCACAAUGGGCGGAAGCCUGAUGCAGCGACGCCGCGUGGGGGAUGACGGCCUUCGGGCUGUAAACUCCUUUCACCAUCGACGAAGGGUUUCUGACGGUAGAUGGAGAAGAAGCACCGGCUAACUACGUG
rnacentral:rRNA from 1 species